GAAAUCAACAAUCCAGCAACAACAAUAUCGGACGAAGGUUGCGAAAGCUUGGACACUCUCGAAAACGAGUUGAGGAUAAAGUUAGAAGCAUUUAAAAAUAGUCAAGUCAUGCAAUAUCGCGAAAAUACAACUGCACCUACCGAAAGUGAAGAGGAGCUCGACUUCAGUUUUACAGAGAAACUUACACCGAACACAAAGGCUAGAUAUAACAACCUGACUCCAAGAAAAAGGAAAACAUUUGCUUGGGCCAUUGAAGUCGCGCAAAAAAUAAUAAAGAGACCCAAAAUAGAUCACAAUGCAACAGACGUGAGUACUUCCCAAGACAAAAUUCCCGAUUCAACCCCAAUAGCAACUGGCGAUCAAAACGUGUGCGAUUAAGCAAAUGAAAUGCCUGCAAGAGGUAAACGAUAUACAAUGUGUCAUGUGUGGUUUGCAGGUGAAUCGCACGCCAGAAAGCGAUUAUUUGCAAAAGGUGCUAUUGGCGUUCUUCCUUGGAACAGGUUCAAACAACAGAUAUAAAGCCCAAGAUGAUAAGAAGCACACCCAAGAUUGGAGUUACCAGAAACACAUCAAAAGUCUUCACUUCAGUCUCACCAUGCACAAAUAUUAGAGCAUCUACGAAAUUUUGCGAAGGUGAAGUGUCAGAAGCGAUGGUUUGCAAAAGCGAUGGCGUGGUUUUUCU